rnacentral:rRNA from 1 species
CGGUUGAUCCUGCCGGACCAGACUGCUAUUGGAGUUCGACUAAGCCAUGCAAGUUUUCCGCAAGGAAGCGAAAGGCUGAGUAACACGUAGGUAACCUGCCUUUAGGAGGGGCACACCGUCGGGAAACUGACGUUAAUUCCCCAUAGAUUUAGAAUAUUGGAAUAUUUCUAAGUUAAAAGUUUCGGCACCUAAAGAUGGGCCUGCGUUCUAUCAGGUUGUUGGUAGUGUAAAGGACUACCAAGCCUACGACGGAUAGGGGCAGUGAGAGCUGGAGCCCCCAGAUGGGAACUGAGACACGGUCCCAAGCCCUACGGGGUGCAGCAGGCGCGAAACCUCCGCAAUGCACGCAAGUGUGACGGGGGGACUCCAAGUGUUUCUGUUUUUUAAACAGUUUCUUUUCUGAAGUGUAAAUAGCUUCAGGAAUAAGAGCUGGGAAAGACGGGUGCCAGCAGCCGCGGUAAUACCCGCAGCUCGAGUGGUCUGGAUUUUUAUUGGGUCUAAAGCGUUCGUAGCAGGGUUUGUAAGUUUUCUGUGAAAUCUGACAGCUUAACUGUCAGGCGUGCAGAGGAUACUGCAGACCUUGGGACUGGGAUGGGUCGAGGGUACUUCAGGGGUAAGGGUGAAAUCUAAUAAUCCUUGAGGGACCACCUGUGGCGAAGGCGCUCGGCUAGAACAGAUCCGACUGUGAGGGACGAAAGCUAGGGGAGCGAACGGGAUUAGAUACCCCGGUAGUCCUAGCCGUAAAUGAUGUAGAUUAGGUGUU